rnacentral:tmRNA from 1 species
ACGAAGCUAAACAUGUAGUGCCAAAGGUAGAGGAUUUGCGGACGCGGGUUCAAUCCCCGCCGCCUCCACCA